rnacentral:rRNA from 1 species
AAUGGACGGAAGUCUGAUGCAGCAACGCCGCGUGGAGGAUGACACAUUUCGGUGCGUAAACUCCUUUUAUAUGAGAAGAUAAUGACGGUAUUAUAUGAAUAAGCACCGGCUAACUCCGUGCCAGCAGCCGCGGUAA